CUUGGCUCCAGACUGAGCUUCUCCAUCCCUUUCUUUAUUAUACAAAUAGGCAGUAUACACAGUGAGCGCCCACUAAGCGCUGGGCUGGGGGCCUCCAACCCGGAACAGAAGCCGGCCACAACCCUCGCUCCCUGUCGUCGCGGCCGUUAUAGGCCGAAAGCAAAAUCCAAUCCCGGGCCAUUGUGGGCGGAUUGCCAGGACCUGGAUCGCAACACUUGGGAAGACCCCCGCCCCGCCCAGCGAUCUCCGUGCCCUGAGUCCCAGUGACGGCCCCCUGGACAGCGGAGCCUGCUGCAGCGACGCGACGCGCUGGGUACACAAACAUAAACAUUGCGCCACCCGCCCGGGUGCCGAGUCAGGAACAUUCUGCGGUUUCCUCCCCUCCUGGGGGAGGGGAUUUCGCUGGCCACCCUGUGUCGUCGCUGUGCGAGCUGUAUCACCAGUGGCAACUUCUGCAUUUGCCUCGCUUAGCUUGUGUGUUUUCGCCUGCGCAAAUGUUCUGCCUGGAUUCUUCUAGAAAAGUUCAGGGCAUGGAGUGCUUUUUUUUUUAAAAGGGCGUCUUCUACCUUCAUUUGAACAUUGGUCGAGGACAGCAAAGAGGUCCUCAGAUAAGGGCAACGCCCUCCCUGUAUGGAGAGAUAGAAGAAAAAGAAAUUGUUUAUACUACUUAUUCAGCUGAGGAACUCAACAUAGUUUUUGCGUUGAAUCAUAGAAUGUUACAGCUGCUGACUUUUCACUGCAUACCGACUUGAUUUGUCCCAUUUUUUUUCUCACCAAGAGCAUUUAUUAUACCUUCCCCUACCGAAAUUUUUCAAAAAGAAAACUUUUUAAGAGCUGGGCGCUGUGGCUCACACCUGUAAUCCCAGCACUUCGGGAGGCCGUGGGGGGGCGGAUCAUGAGGUCAGGAGAUCGAGACCAUCCUGGCCAACAUGGUGAAACCCUGUCUCUACUAAAAAUACAAAAAUUAGUUGGGUGUGGUGGUGGGCGCCUGUAAUCCCAGUUACUCGAGAGCCUGAGGCUGAACCCGGGAGGCAGAGGUUGCAGUGAGCCAAGAUCACACCACUGCACUCCAGCCUGGUGACAGAGCAAGACUCUGUCUCAAAAAAAAAAAAGAAAAGAAAA
rnacentral:lncRNA from 1 species